GACGAACGCUGGCGGCGUGCUUAACACAUGCGAGUCGAACGGAAAGGCCCUGCUUUUGUGGGGUGCUCGAGUGGCGAACGGGUGAGUAACACGUGAGUAACCUGCCCUUGACUUUGGGAUAACUUCAGGAAACUGGGGCUAAUACCGGAUAGGAGCUCCUGCUGCAUGGUGGGGGUUGGAAAGUUUCGGCGGUUGGGGAUGGACUCGCGGCUUAUCAGCUUGUUGGUGGGGUAGUGGCUUACCAAGGCUUUGGCGGGUAGCCGGCCUGAGAGGGUGACCGGCCACAUUGGGACUGAGAUACGGCCCAGACUCCUACGGGAGGCAGCAGUGGGGAAUAUUGCACAAUGGGCGGAAGCCUGAUGCAGCAACGCCGCGUGCGGGAUGACGGCCUUCGGGUUGUAAACCGCUUUCGCCUGUGACGAAGCGUGAGUGACGGUAAUGGGUAAAGAAGCACCAGCUAACUACGUG
rnacentral:rRNA from 1 species